rnacentral:rRNA from 1 species
UACGUAGGGGGCGAGCGUUGUCCGGAUUUAUUGGGCGUAAAGAGCUCGUAGGCGGUUUGGUAAGUUGGAUGUGAAAUCUCCAGGCUCAACUUGGAGGGGUCAUUCGAUACUGCCAUGACUAGAGUUCGGUAGGGGAGUGUGGAAUUCCUGGUGGAGCGGUGAAAUGCGCAGAUAUCAGGAAGAACACCAAUGGCGAAGGCAGCUCUCUGGGACGGUACUGACGCUGAGACGCGAAAGCGUGGGGAGCGAACAGG